GACGUAGGGCGCGAGCGUUGUCCGGAUUUAUUGGGCGUAAAGAGCUCGUAGGCGGCUUGUCGCGUCGUCUGUGAAAACCCGCGGCUCAACGGCGGGCUUGCAGUCGAUACGGGCAGGCUGGAGUUCGGUAGGGGAGACUGGAAUUCCUGGUGUAGCGGUGAAAUGCGCAGAUAUCAGGAGGAACACCUGUGGCGAAGGCGGCUUUCUGGGCCUUACCUGACGCUGAGACGCGAAAGCGUGGGGAGCGAACCGG
rnacentral:rRNA from 1 species